rnacentral:rRNA from 1 species
GAUGAACGCUGGCGGCGUGCCUAAUACAUGCAAGUCGAGCGAACAGACGAGGAGCUUGCUCCUCUGAUGUUAGCGGCGGACGGGUGAGUAACACGUGGAUAACCUACCUAUAAGACUGGGAUAACUUCGGGAAACCGGAGCUAAUACCGGAUAACAUGUUGAACCGCAUGGUUCAACAGUGAAAGACGGUCCUGCUGUCACUUAUAGAUGGAUCCGCGCCGCAUUAGCUAGUUGGUAAGGUAACGGCUUACCAAGGCAACGAUGCGUAGCCGACCUGAGAGGGUGAUCGGCCACACUGGAACUGAGACACGGUCCAGACUCCUACGGGAGGCAGCAGUAGGGAAUCGUCCGCAAUGGGCGAAAGCCUGACGGAGCAACGCCGCGUGAGUGAAGAAGGUCUUCGGAUCGUAAAACUCUGUUAGUAGGGAAGAACAAAUGUGUAAGUAACUAUGCACGUAUUGACGGUACCUAAUCAGAAAGCCACGGCUAACUACGUG